GACUGCUCCAAUGGCCUAGUGGUUAGAGCUUCCGCCUCAGAUACGGGAGGUCACGGGUUCGAAUCCAUGCCGAGUCA